AAGUCGUAACAAGGUUUCCGUAGGUGAACCUGCGGAAGGAUCAUUAUUGAAUACAAUAUCUCUGAUAUACAUUCCAUGUGCACUGUACCAGUAUAUAAGAAUAGGAUUUGUUGUCAAUGGCAGGAAAUCCAUUCUUUUUAUUUUUCACUUUUACCAAACUGUCGUUCAAUACAUAUGCGCAUACACGCAUACAAGCAACCAAAAUAAAUACAACUUUUAGCAAUGGAUCUCUAGGCUCUC
rnacentral:misc_RNA from 1 species